GUAUCGCUGGAUCAGUUACACCAGUCUUGAAUGCCUUUCCAGACUCCACUGUAGGCCACAUCUCACUUUCAUUUGCUUAAAGAUCCACUUGCUGUAUCACACUUCAAAGAUUUGACAUUAUUCUCCUCUUUUCAAAGCUCACAGAUGCCUUUAAAGCACUGAAUGGUUUUAAGUUCCUCAAUGUGACUGGCUUCAGGCUGGCCAACCACAUUGUUGACUUUGAGGCCGAGGUCAGUGUCAAGUUCGCUACUUCCAGACUUCAAGGCAUCAAAACUGCUUUAGAAACACAACUUGGAGCGACAAUUUCCAUCACCACUUUAGGUCUGGUUACCAUAGAAGCCCCAAAGACCAGAGUAUGCUACCAGUCGUCUCCGGUGCUGAAAUGCACAUUAGAGGAGAUGACAGAGAGCGCCGGCUGGAAGAUGAGCAACAGGUCCAACAGCUUUGAGCUCAGCAAUGGCAGCGUGGUGCAGCUGAACCACCAGUGUGCCACAGACACAUUCAAGUCCUGUACUGAGGUGACACUCAGGAAGGUACCGGCUUUCUGGGCAGGUGGGCACGGCUCGAGGUUGAUUAAGCUGAACUCAAAUUUUGAUGUAUAUGUACAUUUUUUUGUACUUAUUUGCCAUUUUUAUGUGGUAAAUUAAGAUUAGUGAGAGACACACACUCAUUCAUCACCAAUACACAGAUGACAGAGAAAACUGACACCCACACAAAUGUUUUGGGACUCACAGGUUAAAAAUAAAUAAAUAAAUAAAUAAAAGAAAGAAAGGAAAGAGAAGAAACUUGGGUCCUGGACAGGGAUGCCCAUGUGUCAAGCUCCAGAAACUGGAUCUCUUUUCAUCUGUACAGAGCUGCUGGUGCACUAUUAAAGUUGGCAAUGAGCAUUUCAAUAUAAAUAUGUCAAAGUGCAUUUUAGAGACUGAAUAUUGUCCAAAGAGACUUGAUUUAAUUUCAUAAUGGUCCUAUAAUGUUCCCGGUUCUUCAGUGCACAACAAAUAUCAGAUGAUGUG
rnacentral:lncRNA from 1 species